UCUACUGUGGGGUCGGAAGGCAGGACUCGGGGAUGACCUCCACCAUGGCCUGGCGCCCUCUCCUCUUCAGCCUCCUGGCUCACUGCACAGGGUCCUGGGCCCAGGCUGUGCUGACUCAGCCGCCCUCAGUGUCUGGGUCUCCAGGAGAGACGGUCACCAUCUCCUGCACCGGAAGCAGCAGCAAUAUUGGGGGCUAUUAUGUCCAGUGGUACCAGCAGCUCUCAGGAGUGGCUCCCAAACUCAUCAUCUAUGGCAAUAGCGAUCGACCAUCCGGGGUCUCUGAUCGAUACUCUGGCUCCAAAUCUGGCAACACAGCCUCCCUGACCAUCAGUGGGCUCCAAUCUGAGGACGAGGCUGACUAUUACUGUGGGUCUUAUGACAGUAGCCUCGGUGCUUGGGUAUUCGGAGGAGGGACCGCACUGACCAUCUUAGGUAAGUGGCUUCUUCUCCUUCUCUUGUUACUACCCAUGAUUUGAGACAAUAGUCUUCUG